GACGAACGUUGGCGGCGUGUCUAAGGCAUGCAAGUCGAACGAAGAUCUAGCUUGCUAGAUCUUAGUGGCGAACGGGUGAGUAAUACAUAAAUAAUCUGCCCAUAUGACUGGGAUAACUAUUGGAAACGAUAGCUAAUACCGGAUAGGUUGAUCGGAGGCAUCUCUGAUGAAUUAAAGUAGGAUUUCUACACAAAUGGAUGAGUUUAUGGCGCAUUAGUUAGUUGGUGGGGUAACGGCCUACCAAGACGAUGAUGCGUAGCCGACCUGAGAGGGUGACCGGCCACACUGGGACUGAGAGACGGCCCAGACUCCUACGGGAGGCAGCAGUAGGGAAUUUUCGGCAAUGGGCGCAAGCCUGACCGAGCAACGCCGCGUGAGUGAUUAAGGCCUUCGGGUUGUAAAGCUCUGUUGUAAGGGAAGAACAUUCAGGAUAGGAAAUGAUCUUGAACUGACGGUACCUUACCAGAAAGCCACGGCUAACUACGUGCCAGCCGCCGCCGUAA
rnacentral:rRNA from 1 species